rnacentral:rRNA from 1 species
AUACGUAGGGGGCGAGCGUUGUCCGGAAUGACUGGGCGUAAAGGGCGUGUAGGCGGUUGAAUAAGUCUGGAGUGAAAGUCCCGGUUUCAAGUUGGGAACUGCUUUGGAUACUGUUCAACUUGAGUGCGGAAGAGGUAAGUGGAAUUCCCAGUGUAGCGGUGAAAUGCGUAGAGAUUGGGAGGAACACCAGUGGCGAAGGCGACUUACUGGGCCGUAACUGACGCUGAGGCGCGAAAGCGUGGGGAGCGAACAGGAUUAGAUACCCUGGUAGUCCACGCGGUAAACGAUGAAUGCUAGGUGUUGCGGGUAUCGACCCCUGCAGUGCCGGAGUAAACACAAUAAGCAUUCCGCCUGGGGAGUACGGCCGCAAGGUUGAAACUCAAAUGAAUUGACGGGG